rnacentral:RNase_P_RNA from 1 species
GAAGUAAAUUGGGUGAUUGCUUUUUGACUUUUUUGUUAAAAAGAGGAAAGUCCGGGCUCCAAAUAGCGGCGUAGCGGGUAAUACCCGUCCAUUGUGAAAUGAGGAUUAGAGCCACAGAGACGAGACUUUGCCUUAGGGCAAAGGGUGAAACGCGGUAAUCUCUACGCGGAGCAAGGCCAAAUAGGGGAGGAAUCAGAAAAGUCCGGUGCGUGCGGACAGACUGGUGCGAAACAGCUAGUUUCGCUACAACUUCCGGGUAGGCCGCAAAAGGUUUUACAGUAAUGUAAACCGUAGAUGGAUAAUCACCAGGCAGAUUUAUCUGUUAACAGAACCCGGCUUAUAGAUUUGCUUCAAUG